UACAGAGGGUGCAAGCGUUAAUCGGAAUUAUUGGGCGUAAAGCGCAUGUAGGUGGCUUGUUAAGUCUGAUGUGAAAGCCCUGGGCUUAACCUGGGAAUUGCGUUGGAAACUGGCAAGCUAGAGUCGGACAGAGGGUCGUGGAAUUUCCGGUGUAGCGGUGAAAUGCGUAGAGAUCGGAAAGAACAUCAGUGGCGAAGGCGUCGACCUGGGUCCAGACUGACACUGAGGUGCGAAAGCAUGGGGAGCAAACAGG
rnacentral:rRNA from 1 species